rnacentral:rRNA from 1 species
AGCAGCCGCGGUAAUUCCAGCUCCAAUAGCGUAUAUUAAAGUUGUUGCAGUUAAAAAGCUCGUAGUUGAAUUUCGGGGUCAGUAGAUUGGUCAUGCCACUGGUAUGUACUGGUCUCACUGAUUCCUCCUUCCUGAUGAGCCGUAAUGCCAUUAAUUUGGUGUUGCGAGGAAUCUGGACUGUUACUUUGAAAAAAUUAGAGUGUUUAAAGCAAGCUAACGCUUGAAUACAUUAGCAUGGAAUAAUGAAAUAGGACGUUCGAUCCUAUUUUGUUGGUUUCUAGGAUUGACGUAAUGAUUAAUAGGGAUAGUUGGGGGCAUUAGUAUUCAAUUGUCAGAGGUGAAAUUCUUGGAUUUAUUGAAGACUAACUACUGCGAAAGCAUUUGCCAAGGAUGUUUUCAUUAAUCAAGAACGAAAGUUAGGGGAUCGAAGACGAUCAGAUACCGUCGUAGUCUUAACCAUAAACUAUGCCGACUAGGGAUCGGAUGAUGUUAAUUUUUUAAUGACUCA